rnacentral:lncRNA from 1 species
AUGCAUCAAAAGUCUGCACGAGCCUAUCACUUUUCAGGGACAAGAAGACCAAGAACCUUCCGAUGGGGAACAAUCCGUGCAGUCUUCUGCCUACAAUCAAUUUUUCUUCCCUGCAUUUUACCUGCUGUUAGCAUGAGAGUGACAUUAUUCUCCUACUCCUAUUUGUCCCCGGUGGAGCAUGUCUCUUUUCUCGGAAAUUCAGUACAGACUGAGAAAACACUGUGGCUAGGUCAAGGAUCUUUUGCAAAGUCUUUAUCUGUGUAGCCUAAAUGGACCGGGCAACAGAACAGAUUGUGCUCUCAGCUCGGGAAAAAGAAGAAAUAACUCAUCCACAUGGGUUGUGCUAUUUGUACGUAGGAACAGAAUCACGCUGUUUGUCUAUCUGCAAGUACUGCGCAGACCUCCGGAUACAUGGCUUGCAUGCACAGUCACAGUGCCUGGACUGCCUCAUGCACAUCACAUCAGCAUGGCUCUCCCAAAUGCCAUAAAGGGACCUCUGCAGGAUCGUCGUCUGUAUGGGGCACCAGCCUUGGGCUGACCAUGGGGCUGCAGCCAGAAGUCAGUUCAGAAAGCUGCCACACCUGGAAGCAGGGAAGGAACAAGUAUGACAGCAGAAUGAGCUUUUCUUGGUUUUAAGAGUGCUGUGUCAUGUCUUCAAAUCUAGAACUAAAUGUUAUAAUAGUUUAUGCCAUGCUUUUCCUUUUAUUUGGAUGUAUAUUUCAUUUUGGACAUACAUUUUCUAUAUCUCCAAAUUUUUUGCAAAGUUCACCAACAAAAGAUUAUUUAACAAAAAGUUGUCUUUUUUUUUUUUUUUUUUUUUUUUCUGAGUGAUGCUGAAUGCAGAAACUUCAGCUGAAUUUUCAGAAUGACUGAUGGAGAACUGUCAGGGAAAGAUGCCUGCCCUCUGCGUAUCAGGCCCGGAAAAGUAAGCCCAGAAAGGGGAUGCCCUGUUGAUUGAAUUUUUGGCCAGUGGUUACAUUUAAAUAUUCAACUGCUGUCAUGGCAAAGCCUCCCUUGAAAUGAGUUAUUUUGCUUGACAUCAUGCUGCCCAGUCAAAUUGCAUUUCAUAUUCUUAUGCAGAAAUUAUCCCAUACCAUGUUUUUCCCCUUAGAAUAUGCCCCAAGUGGGCAAGCAGCCUUUGCUAAUAAGCCUGAGAGGAAAAGCCUUGCUUAGAAAAGUUAAAAAACCUCUGAAGGACUGUUCAUCUUGGCAAAAAACACUUCAUGCCCUCUAGGGGAAUAUUAUUAAGCUAUUGCCUGUCAGCUAGCUCAUAAAUUAUCAAGCCAGAGCAAGUCUGGUUAUUCUGCCAUUUAUAAGACUACUUAAAAUAAAAUUCAUCACCAAGGUUUGUACUUUAUUGCU